GAGGGUGUAGCUCAGUGGCAGAGCAUAUGCUUAGCAUGUACAAGGUCCUGGGUUCAGUCCCCAGUACCUCCA
rnacentral:tRNA from 1 species